rnacentral:rRNA from 1 species
UUAGGAAUCUUGCGCAAUGGGCGAAAGCCUGACGCAGCAACGCCGCGUGAGGGAUGAAGGCUCUCGGGUUGUAAACCUCUUUCAGCAGGGACGAUUGUGACGGUACCUGCCGAAGAAGGACCGGCCAACUACGUGCCAGCAGCCGCGGUAAUACGUAGGGUCCGAGCGUUGUCCGGAUUUAUUGGGCGUAAAGAGCUCGUAGGCGGCUCAGUAAGUCAGAUGUGAAAACUCAGGGCUCAACCCGGAGACGCCAUCUGAUACUGCUGUGGCUUGAGUCUGGUAGGGGAUCACGGAAUUCCUGGUGUAGCGGUGAAAUGCGCAGAUAUCAGGAGGAACACCGAUGGCGAAGGCAGUGAUCUGGGCCAGUACUGACGCUGAGGAGCGAAAGCGUGGGUAGCAAA